rnacentral:rRNA from 1 species
GGUUCGGAUCAUGGCUCAGAUUGAACGCUGGCGGGAUGCUUUACACAUGCAAGUCGAACGGCAGCACAAGACUUUACCUAAAAGGAGUGGCGAACGGGUGAGUAAUGUAUCGGAACGCCUAGUAGCGGGGAUAACUACGCGAAAGCGUAGCUAAUACCGCAUACGCCCUUCGGGGGAAAGCGGGGACCUUUCGGGCCUCGCACUAUUAGAGCGGCCGAUAUCGAUUACUAGUUGUGCAACGGCUCACCGCGACGAUCCGUAGCUGGUUUGAGAGGACGACCAGCCACACUGGGACUGGUGACACGGCCCAGACUCGCACGGAGUGUUGGUGGGGACUUUGGACAAUGGGAACCCCUGAUCCAGCCAUCCCGCGUGUGCGAUGAAGGCCUUCGGGUUGUAAAGCACUUUUGGCAGGAAAGAACGGCACGGGAUAAUACCCCGUGCAACUGACGGCACUGCAGAAUGGGCAACGGCUAACUACGUGCCAGCAGCCGCGGUAAUACGUAGGUGCAAGCGUUAAUCGGAAUUACUGGGCGUAAAGCGCGUGCGUGCAGGCGGGCCUGGAAAGAAAGAUGUGAACCCCAGAGCUUAACUUUGGAACUGCAUUUUUAACUACCGGGGAGCUCAGAGUGUGUCAGAGGGAGGUGGACUCCGCGUAGCAGUGAAAUGCGCAGAUAUGCGGAGGAACACCGAUGGCGAAGGCAGCCUCCUGAUAACACUGACGCUCAUGCACGAAAGCGUGGGAGCAAACAGGAUUAGAUACCCUGGUAGUCCACGCCCUAAACGAUGUCAACUAGCUGUUGGGGCCUUCGGGCUCAUAGUGCAGCUAACGCGAAGUUGACCGCCUGGGGAGUACGGUCGCAAGAUUAAAACUCAGCGGAAUUGACGGGGACCGCACAAGCGGUGGAUGAUGUGGAUUAAUUCGAUGCAACGCGAAAAACCUUACCUACCCUUGACAUGUCUGGAAUCCCGAAGAGAUUUGGGAGUGCUCGCAAGAGAACCGGAACACAGGUGCUGCAUGGCUGUCGUCAGCUCGUGUCGUGAGAUGUUGGGUUAAGUCCCGCAACGGCAACCUUUGUCAUUAGUUGCUACCAAAGGCACUCUGACGAGACUGCCGGUGACAAACCGGAGGAAGGUGGGGAUGACGCCGUGGGUCCUCAUGGCCUCUGCGGUAGGGCUUCACACGUCAUACAAUGGUCGGGACAGAGGGACGCCAACCCGCGAGGGGAGCCAAUCCCAGAAACCCGAUCGUAGUCCGGAUCGCAGUCUGCAACCUGACUGCGUGAAGCUCGAAAUCGCUAGUAAUCGCGGAUCAGCAUGUCGCGGUGAAUACGUUCCCGGUCUUGUACACACCGCCCGUCACACCAUGGGAGUGGGUUUUACCAGAAGUAGUUAGCCUAACCGUAAGGAGGGCGAUUACCACGGUAGGAUUCAUGACUGGGGUGAAGUCGUAACAAGGUAG